UCUAAGGAGUAUUCUUGUUGUUCUUUCUUCUUUGGAAGGGUUCGCGCAUGGACCUUGGAAACUGUAUAGUAGAUCAAAAAACAAACAAGNAAUAAAGAACAAAGAACUCUAGUUUCUAGAGUUAGCUGUCAAAGAAAAAACCANGUAU
rnacentral:misc_RNA from 1 species